UUCAUGAGUAGAAAGCCUCAUCUUUUUCCAGCCAGCGGUUUCCAGCUGAUGGCUUUGUGGUUAGAAGCCCAGCAUACAACCCACCAGACUACCAGGACACCUACUCUCAACUGCAGUUUUAAUUCUCCACCUCCCAAUCUGGCAGUUCUAGGGAAGAUCAUCUCCACCCCACACGGGACUUCCUACAGCCCCCUGGCCAGGGGGAAGUUCUGUUCCAAUCCCUGCCUGAGUUUGGAGGGUGAUGUGCAGAGACCUGCUCUUGUUCAUUCCAUGAAGGUUCACACUGUAGAUGCCAGCUCCCGUGUAGAGACCAAAGCCCUCAACAUGUCUAUGUAGGCUGAUAAGCCCUACAGACAGAAUUGAGAUCAAAUUCUAGUGCUUGUAUUCAUUAGCUGAAUUCCUUCGGAAAGUCUUUGAGCCUCACUGGGCCUCUAUUGGCUUGUCUCUAAAGUGGGCUGAUGUUUGCACUUGAGGGUUAAGUGACUGAGUGCAGGAUCUGGCAUGCAGUCAGUGGCAGCUACUGUGAUCUAUGCCACCAAGAGGCAUGCAAACACAUCCUAAUAAUGCUGGGCCGAGUGGAAAUGCAGGUCAUGGGACACUUAUAGCUGAGGAUGAAGGUGCAAGAAAAUUGCUUGGGCCGGUCCUCCCUUUCAAAUGUCUCAGGGGAAUGAGCAUUUGAAAGGACAAGAAGAAGGAGUUGGGCACAGGCCAGCCAGGUCCUGGUGCUAACUGCCCUCCCAGAACUCAUAUCCGGCUUCCUGAUGAGGGCAGGGAAUCUUUGGAGGGAGUUGAGCAGAGCAGUGACAUGGUCACAGCAGCAUGAGGUAUUUCACUGGAGCCUGGUGCAGGUACUUGGAGAAAGGGUGCAGGUGUGGAUGCAGGGAGAGCAGGUAGGAGGUUGUUGGGAUAGUUCAAGAAUGAGGUGUGGCUGUGGCAUAGGGAUUGUAGUGGGGCUGACGGGAAAUACCAGAGCCAUUUUGCGUUGGGGGCAGAUGGUGGAGGGGGUGGCUGGCAGGAUUUGGUAGCAUACAGGGUCAAAAAAUAAAGCUGACACUCAGCUUUAUGAUGUAGACAAAGCUCGGGGACCUCCUGGGUGAGGAUCAGGAGGCAGGAUGUGGGCAUCUUUUGUAGGCAUUAGCGUUCCUUACCUGAGGAAGGGCCCCAGGAAUAACUCGCUAAGUUGACUGGCAGUUAAUGAACUGGCUGGGUCUUUUUUCCCUCUGUGUCGCAGCAAGGGCCAACCUGACUUCAGCUCUCCCGAGAUGGCCAAGCAGCCAGACGACGACCUGGAGAAAAUUGAGAACAAAGUAGAAUUCACCAAAGACCUGCUUUCCAGUUACCUGCAAGCUUUCAAGAAAGCCCUGGCCCUGGUCAUGCCGGUGCAAGAGCAGACCAACAAAGAAACCAGCAGCAAGAAAAAGCCCCAGUGAUGACUCUAAACAAAUCUGA